rnacentral:rRNA from 1 species
ACGUACGCUGGCGGCACGCCUAACACAUGCAAGUCGAACGAAGUAGCAAUACUUAGUGGCAGACGGGUGAGUAACAUGUAGGUAUCUGCCCUUUGGCCUGGAAUAACACGAGGAAACUUGUGCUAAUACCGGAUAAGUCUUUACGGAGAAAGCUUUAUGCACCAUUGGAUGAGCCUGCACUUGAUUAGUUUGUUGGUGGGGUAAUGGCCUACCAAGACUGUGAUCAAUAGCUGAUUUGAGAGGAUGAUCAGCCACAUUGGGACUGAGACACGGCCCAAACUCCUACGGGAGGCAGCAGUGGGGAAUCUUGCACAAUGGAGGAAACUCUGAUGCAGCGAUGCCGCGUGAGUGAAGAAGGCCUUUGGGUUGUAAAGCUCUUUCGUCGGGGAAGAAAAUGACUGUACCCGAAUAAGAAGGUCCGGCUAACUUCGUGCCAGCAGCCGCGGUAAUACGAAGGGACCUAGCGUAGUUCGGAAUUACUGGGCUUAAAGAGUUCGUAGGUGGUUGAAAAAGUUAGUGGUGAAAUCCCAGAGCUUAACUCUGGAACUGCCAUUAAAACUUUUCAGCUAGAGUAUGAUAGAGGAAAGCAGAAUUUCUAGUGUAGAGGUGAAAUUCGUAGAUAUUAGAAAGAAUACCAAUUGCGAAGGCAGCUUUCUGGAUCAUUACUGACACUGAGGAACGAAAGCAUGGGUAGCGAAGAGGAUUAGAUACCCUCGUAGUCCAUGCCGUAAACGAUGUGUGUUAGACGUUGGAAAUUUAUUUUCAGUGUCGCAGGGAAACCGAUAAACACACCGCCUGGGGAGUACGACCGCAAGGUUAAAACUCAAAUGAAUUGACGGGGACCCGCACAAGUAGUGGAGCAUGUGGUUUAAUUCGAAGAUACGCGCAGAACCUUACCAACACUUGACAUGUUCGUCGCGACUCUAAGAGAUUAGAGUUUUCGGUUCGGCCGGACGAAACACAGGUGCUGCAUGGCUGUCGUCAGCUCGUGUCGUGAGAUGUUGGGUUAAGUCCCGCAACGAGCGCAACCCUCACUUUUAGUUGCCAUCAUUAAGUUGGGCACUCUGAAAGAACUGCCAGUGAUAAGCUGGAAGAAGGUGGGGAUGACGUCAAGUCCUCAUGGCCCUUACGUGUUGGGCUACACACGUGCUACAAUGGUAUCUACAACAGGAAGCAAGACUGCGAAGUUAAGCAAAUCCCUAAAAGAUACCUCAGUUCGGAUUGCACUCUGCAACUCGAGUGCAUGAAGCUGGAAUUACUAGUAAUCGUGGAUCAGCGUGCCACGGUGAAUGCGUUCCCGGGUCUUGUACACACCGCCCGUCAAGG